rnacentral:rRNA from 1 species
AUUGAACGCUGGCGGCAUGCCUUACACAUGCAAGUCGAACGGCAGCACGGGGGCAACCCUGGUGGCGAGUGGCGAACGGGUGAGUAAUAUAUCGGAACGUACCCUGGAGUGGGGGAUAACGCAGCGAAAGUUGCGCUAAUACCGCAUACGAUCUAUGGAUGAAAGUGGGGGAUUCGCAAGAACCUCAUGCUCCUGGAGCGGCCGAUAUCUGAUUAGCUAGUUGGUAGGGUAAAAGCCUACCAAGGCAUCGAUCAGUAGCUGGUCUGAGAGGACGACCAGCCACACUGGAACUGAGACACGGUCCAGACUCCUACGGGAGGCAGCAGUGGGGAAUUUUGGACAAUGGGGGCAACCCUGAUCCAGCAAUGCCGCGUGAGUGAAGAAGGCCUUCGGGUUGUAAAGCUCUUUUGUCAGGGAAGAAACGGAUUGGUCUAAUACACUGGUCUAAUGACGGUACCUGAAGAAUAAGCACCGGCUAACUACGUGCCAGCAGCCGCGGUAAUACGUAGGGUGCAAGCGUUAAUCGGAAUUACUGGGCGUAAAGCGUGCGCAGGCGGUUAUGUAAGACAGAUGUGAAAUGCCCGGGCUUAACCUGGGAACUGCAUUUGUGACUGCAUGGCUAGAGUGUGUCAGAGGGGGGUAGAAUUCCACGUGUAGCAGUGAAAUGCGUAGAUAUGUGGAGGAAUACCGAUGGCGAAGGCAGCCCCCUGGGAUAACACUGACGCUCAUGCACGAAAGCGUGGGGAGCAAACAGGAUUAGAUACCCUGGUAGUCCACGCCCUAAACGAUGUCAACUAGUUGUUGGGUCUUAAUUGACUUGGUAACGCAGCUAACGCGUGAAGUUGACCGCCUGGGGAGUACGGUCGCAAGAUUAAAACUCAAAGGAAUUGACGGGGACCCGCACAAGCGGUGGAUGAUGUGGAUUAAUUCGAUGCAACGCGAAAAACCUUACCUACCCUUGACAUGGUCGGAACCCUGGAGAGAUUCGGGGGUGCUCGAAAGAGAACCGAUACACAGGUGCUGCAUGGCUGUCGUCAGCUCGUGUCGUGAGAUGUUGGGUUAAGUCCCGCAACGAGCGCAACCCUUGUCAUUAGUUGCUACGAAAGGGCACUCUAAUGAGACUGCCGGUGACAAACCGGAGGAAGGUGGGGAUGACGUCAAGUCCUCAUGGCCCUUAUGGGUAGGGCUUCACACGUCAUACAAUGGUACGUACAGAGGGUUGCCAACCCGCGAGGGGGAGCUAAUCCCAGAAAGCGUAUCGUAGUCCGGAUUGUAGUCUGCAACUCGACUACAUGAAGUUGGAAUCGCUAGUAAUCGCGGAUCGGCAUGUCGCGGUGAAUACGUUCCCGGGUCU